CAUUUUGUUUGCUCUUUUAAGCAAACAUUACAAUAAUUGCAAAUUCUAUAAGCAAUUAAACAAAACUUACUGCACAUAGGAUGCAGAAUGAUGUUUUAUUUAGUGUGCAUAUGAUUUUCAGCUUAUGGACAAGAAAACAUAUACUUUAACAAUCACAGCAACACAAUGAGAUCCCAAUUUUAAAGAAAUAAUGCCACCUUUCAUUAAUUCAUUAAUUCAUUCUAUCAAUCAUUCAUAUAUAUAUUCAUUAAUUCAUUCAUUUAUUCAAUUUAUUCAUUGAAAAACUUGACAUUUCUCAAGGCAAAAUAAAUAAAAAGUGAGCAGCUUUCAUAAAGAAUAGAGCCUUUUCCCUUAAUGCAUUAAAAAACACAACCUUAAUACAGUAUAAAUGUUUUAAAAACCCUAAUUUAUUGCUUAUUUUAAUAGCCAGCCUGGUUGCUGUAGCCACAGAGGAAUUUUCAAGGACAAGAACCAGUGCUGGUAAAACUGUGGUCUCUGUGGUUUUCCAUACCGGCUCUCGGCAAGGAUUUUCAAGAAAGGAAUACCAUCUCCAAAUCAUGAUGUGCCAAUAAGCUCCAGUUAGCUGCGGCCUUUUCCCCAGGCGGUAGUCCUGCAAUCUGAAUCCAGGAGAUGCAGCUCUGAAUCCAAUAUUUCAGAAGAAUGAAGAUGAAGCAGACCCAGGAGGAACUGUCUGUUGAAGACCCCCCCCCCCCCCCCACCAAGCUGCCCACCAGAGGCCAAGCUGUACUUGGUGUUUGCCAACAUGCUGUAAUUU